rnacentral:rRNA from 1 species
AAUAAGCGGAGGAAAAGAAACCAACCGGGAUUGCCUCAGUAACGGCGAGUGAAGCGGCAACAGCUCAAAUUUGAAAGCCCGCGGGCGUUGUAAUUUGCAGGCGGAUGUUUUGGGGCGGGCGCUGUCUACGUUCCUUGGAACAGGACGCCGCAGAGGGUGAGAGCCCCGUGCGAUGGCGCCUCCAACCGCGUAAAACUCCGCCGACGAGUCGAGUUGUUUGGGAAUGCAGCUCCAAGUGGGUGGUAAAUUCCAUCUAAAGCUAAAUACUGGCGAGAGACCGAUAGCGAACAAGUACAGUGAUGGAAAGAUGAAAAGCACUUUGAAAAGAGAGUGAAACAGCACGUGAAAUUGUUGAAAGGGAAGGGUAUGCGAUUAGCGGCCAGCAGGAGGUGCCUUCUCGUGAAAAGGCCGUGCACCGUCUUCGGACACCGUGCGCGGAGAUGGCGAGGGGGCGCCUGAGGUCUGCGACUCGA